GAGGAAAGAAUUACAUAUUUAAAAAGAUGUAAGUGUUUUAUUGUUCCAUUUUGUCAAGAAGUUAAAAGUAGUUUAUCUUGCAUUAUAAGAUAAAAACGUACGAUAGAUUACAAAAAAAUACGUACUAUAUAUGAUUUACAAUAUUACUCGAUUCAAUUGCUUCCUUUAUUAAAUACAAAUGUCUUGACUUUUCUCGUGUCACACAUCGUAUAAGACAAAUAUCGCUUAAGCUUUGGGAUCUAUGUUCCUAUAAUAACAUCAAGUGGUCUUUAAUAUUUAUCAUGUACCAUCCUCUGUACAUACAUUUAAAAUGGUAAAUUUGUCAGAAGUUGUAGUUUUAAGCUAUAUAUAUUAUAUAUCUUACAAGAAUAUAAUGGUUUCUAUGAUAACUAAUUUACAUCAGGUACUACUUCACUAGCAUAUCUUAUGCUUAUCAACAACUAACGGAGUUUGUCCUUUUAUAUAAUCUUUAUCUUGUAACACUAUCUGAAGCACAAUUAUUUAAACAUUCCUUCAUCUUUGGAAUACAAAAAGCCUCAAUCAAAUGUUUCAUAUAUAAUCUUUAAAAAGGCUUUCUACUGUGCGAGAUUUUUCUGUCCUCAUUAUCAAAUAUAAAUUGUAAAAUAUGUUAUAUUAUAUUUUAUAAUGAUAGAGGUAUGCGAAUAAAAAACCUCACUAUAAAUAACUAAUACAUAUAAAUGAACAGAAAAAUGUCACAUAAAUUUGAAUCCAGCAAUAUUAACAGCAGAUUGAGUAAAUGAUAUAUAUUCAAGAUCAAAUAACAAUGUAAAUAUUGGUCAAAUAUAUAUAUCGUGUGUUAAAUAAAUUGUCUUAAAUUCUGUUUUUAGCAACAUGCAGGGGCUGUAGAUAUUACUAGAUAAAUAUUUCAGAUCAAGACAGUGUAAAGCGUGUUUAAAUCUUCCAGAAAUGCAACUGGGCCCUCUUUACAGCAAUUAUAGAUGGAGCAAAGUAUGGUAGCAAGUUAUAUAGAUAUACACACAUGCCGAAGAAGAUUGUAAUAUCUGGAGAAAACAUUUCCUUCGUCAAGAAAUAGACACCGUUACACUGGUCUACGUAACAUUCCUGUUAUAGAUGAUUGAUAUAUUUAAGUGCUUUUAAGAAUAGUGUUUGAAUGUCGAAUUUCUGUGAAUACGGAUUUUUAGUUUUAAUGGUUAUUAUUAAAACUUUCUGUUAUAAUCAAUUUGUGCUAUGGACUCAUUUUCCUAAAAUAAUAUGUGAAUGUUAACACGAAAAAAAUGAUAUUAAUAUCUUUAAAAUGUUUUAUGGGUGUAAUAAAAGUGGCUCAUAAAAAUCAUUGUUAAGAUAAACAGAAAAGAACUUCAAGUUGGUAUAGUUUGUUCUAGAUUUAAACAACAUGCAAUUCAUAAAGGAUACGGCUUGAAAAUAUCGAAACAUGUACAUGUAUAAUUCAAUCUUUGAAGAAAAUAUCGCGGUGAGGAUGUUUUGUACUGUGAUACGUAUUACAUGACUCUGUAUCGCAACAUACCGGUAUAUCGCUAUUCCGUUGCAACGCUACAUUAAUGUGUUCCUCUAGAAUAAGGCUUACAACAAUAUAU